AAGCCAGUGGAAAAAUCCUUUGACGUCAAUGUUAUGUAAGUAAAUUAUAACUUCUAGGAAACUGUGUUUUCCAUGAAACUUCAGGUCUCACAAUUCCAGCGAGCUUGACUGCAGUCCUUGAAAUGCACUGCUUCAUUGGAACUGCAGUCAGACCUUGUCCAGCUGAUCUGCCUAGGGACUGAGUGUGCUGACAGAGACCUAUUCUUCGCAGUCAGGGCUGUAUAAGAAAGAUGGAUAAGCAAGUCACAGGGAACAAACCAGGAAGAAGAGCUCCUCCAAGAUCUCUGCUUCAGUUCUUGCCUCCAAGUCCCUGUUUCAGCAGCUGCCUUCACUUCCCCUGAUGGCAUGUAAGACAAACAAACACAAACACAAAGCAGACAUGGAUAUGGCACGAGCUCAGAGAAGACCUUGACCACAUGAAUACUAACAGAAAGUUGCUUAUUCUUCUAUUGACCUCAUUCAGUGUAUGUCUGUGGCACCUUCAUCCAAAGGCCAAUGUCACGGACCAGUGUGAGUGGUCUACUUUUGUUUGCGAAAC